GGGGAGCAGGAGCCAACAGCCGCCAUGUUGAUGGUGUGGGUCGGCGUUAGCCCGGAGCAGCGGCCGAGGCAGCCGGGUUAAAAUGUCUGCGCAGGGGCGGGCGGGCGUAACUAACGGUCGGGGGACGGGAUGGGGGCCAAGAGAGCGCAGCGCGCUCGGUGAUUUAGAGAUGGGGCGCGGCCGAGUCACCCUUUGCCCUUGAGCCCCGCGUGGGGGCCGACGGGAAGGCGCGGGGGUAGUCCCGUGGGGGAGGGGAGCACCCCAGCCUGGUGGGGUUGGCAGCAGAGCAGGUGGCCCAAGCCCUGGGGCAGUCGCUGCGACGCCGGCAUCCCCCGGGUGCCUGGAGAGGGGUUCAGAGGCGCCGCGCCAGGGGUCUCGCACAGUUGAGGAGGACUGCUGGGUCUGAUCCUGCGGCUUGCUUUCGGAAACGGAGGGUCUCCUGAUGCUGAGGAAAUGAAAUGCAGCUUUCUUGCUUUUCUUGUUAAGGUUGAAGAUGUCCAGGCCCAGAAUUCUGAACCACCUCUUCUUCAUUCAUCCAUAAAAAUGUCUGGGAGAGUUGCAUUUACAGUCUUAUUCUUUAGCUGGAGUCAAAUAAAAUGCCACCAAAUUUGUUACUGAAGAGAAUAACAUGUAAUUACACUAAAGGUUUUUCAGAUGCAUGCAGAGAGCAAUAGGUAUGUUACAGAGAGCAGCAGUGUUACCAAAUCUGUGUUCUUGCCUCCCUCCCUCCCCCAAAACCCUCCGGCUUCUUGGUGGAUGUCUACUAGAAUAAUUUGACUACUGCUAAGAAUGAGAAAUGAGGGCUUUUGCUUUUUAAAGAUGGCACAGUAUUUUGGGAUAACUUCUGUGUCCCCCAAAGCACUUACCUAUUUAAGAGUUUAAAAAUUAAUCUGUCCUUAAACCUCAGGGAGUUGAAACAUCAUCUUGCUAAAUAAAUAUGGUAAGUAUGGUGACAGUGUACUUCUAUGAAGAGGUAUUAUUUUCCUUCCAUGAAAAAUAGAUUCCUCACUGUAUUGUCUUGUGAAAAACUGUAGCAAACCAUAAAUCAAAAGGGGUGCAUCUAGGACAGACUUCUGGAUCAACACAGACUACUGUACAGACUUGAGAAACGGCUCACUCCAUGAUGUGCUAGAAGCUUUUUUUGUUUUUGUACAUUCACAGUACUUCUGAUGGGGGGAGAGAAGAGCAUUUGGCCUUUAAUAUGCAAUUAACUUCUUAAUAACUCAUUUUAGUGUUUGUUUUCCUUUAAGAAAACAGGUUUUCUUGCCCUGAAGGCUGCUGUUCUUGUGCAAUGUUUUGAGUUUCCAAGGAAGUCCAGUUUAAAAAAAGAAGGGAGAAGGCAGUUCUUGAAGUCAAGUUGGCUUAAGUGGUGCAAGAUUAUGUAGUGCACUGAAGUCUAUGCAACGCAUCUCUUAUACUGAUUGUUUUGGUACUUUGUUAGUGCUGGACUGCAGCAUACAGAUAUCUCCUAUUCAUGCACCACGAUUUACCAGAAGUUCUGACACCAAAUGGUAUCCAGAGAUUUUAUUUGCAUCUCUCACACUGAACAUUCAUGAAGUGUUACCAUAGUGAAAGUAACAAUACCAUUCAGUCUUAUCCCUGAUCCAGGAGGUCAUAGUUCCAAGUUAAGCAACAAACUCAUAAGCAGCUUCUGCAAUGCUGCAGGAGAUGAUGCAGCAGUGGUGAAUGUACUGUGCUUUUAGAUACCAUGGUAAAAUGCUUCAAGUGGUUAUUGAAAAUAGAGCUUGUGGCACUUCUCAAGAUAAGUAGAUGAAUUGUUUGAGUGUAUUUCAACAUUUUUUUCCCAGUUAAUUCAUUCUUUUGUCCCUUAGCUGCUGAACCUAGACUUGCUACACUUGUCUUUAUAAAGUCAUUAGAUUACGGAAACUCCUUAUGCUGUAUAAUGUUUUAGGCUAUUGCUAUUUUUGUCAAAUGAAAGCACUGGCUAUUUGAGAUAAGUAGCUGAGAAGUGCUCUAGGGAAUAAAAUGAGUUUCUGGAAAGAAUGUUGUAUGAAUAAAGAGUGUGUGUGUGUGUGUGUGUGUGUAAGUGAGUAAAGCUGUCAUGGAAAGUAAGUAAAGCAAGUCAUUGAGAUGUACGUAAUCAUUUGCUUUCUUUUCAGUUUGAUUAAAAUGAAAGUGUAAGCAGAAAAUUGCUUAACCAGGUUCUGAAGAUAUUUCAAAUAUAGGACUGCAACUCUAAAAAUGAGAACCUCAUUUCCUGUUAGCUUCUUUCUCAGAGUUAUGAUGCAACCAACUCAGGCCUUGCAGGCAAGUCUUACAGACUCCCACCCACUGUAACAUGGCAUAAGAAAUACCUAGUGUCUACAGAUGAGAUGUCAUAUGCCCAGAAAUCUGAAUAUUCAAAGCUGGGAUUCCUGCUUGAAUUGUAAAUCUGCCAUUUACACAGUUGUGUUCUGAACUUGUGGAGGACCUGAUCUGAUGACAGGAUGGAAGUUAACAGUGAAAUAUGGCAAACAUUUUUCCAAAUAACCAUAACUUUUUUUUUUCUUCAUGUGCAACAUCAGGGUUAAAAUGUUAUAAAAAGCUUAAUUUUAAUUUAAAGCCUUAGAAAAAUAGACUGUUUUCUAUUUACUACUGUUUAGGAGGGCGAGGUUAUUUUGUUUGUUCAUUUGUUUGUUUUGGUAUUGUCAAAAAGUGCCUUCCUGUCUCUUUCUAAUACUUCAGCCUUCUGAACCAAGAAUUAAGCUUUCACAAUUCUACGUGUGAAAACCCUUAACAAUUUUUACUUUAUAAAAAGUUUGGUGAGUGGGGCAGAAGGGAAUUUCAAUAACAAAAGGAGGAGUUGAAUUACAGUGUUGCUCAGCUUGGGGAAAUGCAAAACUUUGUUUUCCAUUCUUUCAUUUUUCAAAUCCUCUUUACAGAUAUGAAAAACAAGAACUAGUGGUACUACAGGGGAGAAGAACAGAAGUAAAUGAGUACAAAUUGUUCAUUUUGUUACUGCCUCCCAGCCUCUUGAGCCUGAAAUAAGAGGGUUCUCUCUGUUCUAACAGGUUGCUUUGCCUGUCUUCCCCUUUCUUCUGUCUUCCCAUUUGUUCUACUUUCCCAGCUUGUUUGUAGUGGGGGUGAGGAGAGGAAGAAAGGAAGAAUUUUUUGGGGGGGGGUAGAGGGUAGACUUCCACAUGGUAUCAUGUUAAGUUGAAGGGAAUUCCCUAAAAUUCGUAUCCAAAAUUUAACAUUUUGAGGAAAAUACAUUCUGCAGAAAGACUUCUGAGGCUUGUAAUUGCACUGGAAAUAUGAAAACAUUUUGGGCUCAAACACGGUUUGUUUUCAAAUGCUCUGGCAAGCACUGGAAUUGAACUAACAACCUGUUGUUUUUUCAGCUCAAGAAUCCUUCAGUGGUGAAGCUCUGGAAUCUUCAUGUAGCAUGAACAUGUUUCUCUCCUGGAAAUCUGGCAACAAUUCAGUAGCAGCUAUGUAACAGGAAAGGGAGUGCAGGUUACUGCAAGUCUGGAAUCCCAGAACUUGGUGUCGACUGCUGCUGUUUGUUUCACUACAUAGAACUUGAUGACAGUAGUGGGGAUAAAACUGGGAUCCUCUGUUUUAGAUCUUGAGCUGUGGCUUGGUGGGCUUAAGGAAAAGAUUCCAGCUUUAUCUUGUAGACCAUGAGAAACACACGUGGUAGUUCGUUAUGGUAUGAUGCCUACAAGAAAUCUAAGAAGAUCUAAUGCAAGUAGAAUGUAACUUCCAACCAUGAAAUUAGCGCUGACAGCACAGCACAUUUGCUCCCAGAAAGAGUGGCUAGUGUAUCUUCCAUGUUGAAAAAAUUGGAGCAGAAGGAGGUGUGCCAAAGACUUAACCCACUUAGAGAGCUUUCAUGUUCCUUGGAGAUCUAGUCAUGCUGAUUUAGUGUGAUCUUUUUUUAGCUUAGGUGAUCUAAUGAAGAGCAAACUGAUAGGGUUGUUUCAGCCAUGUAGUAUUGCCCAGUUCUAUUAAGACGAUAUACAGAAAACAGCACCACAACUAAGCAAACUACUUCAAAGGAACAGUCAAAGUAGCCAUUAAAAUUCAGUUACCAUAUUCUCUAUGCUCUUUUAGUAAUAUUAAAGCAAAGGUGUGACUCAGUUAAAAAAUGAGCUGUUAGGGGACCCUAAAAUAUAUAAUUUUAUGUCAGGUAAAUUUUCAUUGCUACUUGACCCCUAUGGUUUGCAGGGAGAUGUAUGUAAGAAAGUUUCAGUAAUUGAAUGCAGAAAAAAAAUUCCAUUUCCUUUUCAGGUUGAUUCAUUUUUCCUAGUAUGCUCACAGCAAAGCUCCAGUUCUGUGACUAGGAUUACACUGAUGGCAGACUUCCAUUGCUUGCUGCGUCCAGUUGCAAGAGCGGUCAUGGGUUUCAACAUGCACACUUUUACAAAGGGAAUUGUGGCUCCUAUGUGAUAUGCAAACUUGUAUGGAGUGUAGGCGUACUAAAUGUUAUCACUGUAAUCAAAGCAUUGCACAUCCAACAAGUCAGUCAGCCUUUUGCUACAACUUCAAUUCUGCCAGCAUGCUACACUGAGACACCAGCUGUGGGUAUCCUUUGAGACAUGUUAUACAUAUAUGAUUUGAUCUAGAAAACUCAAAUACCCUCAAGAUCUACUGAUGUCUAGGGGAACUGCAGAACCCCAGUACCUCUGAAAAUCAGACUUGUUAAACACGCAUUAAUUACAACAUUACGUACAUUGUUGUUGAGGAAAAAGUAAAUUGAGAGUGGUAAGUGGCCGGUGAUGAAAUGCAUGGUGGUAAGGAAGUAGUUGGAUCCUUUACCUUCUUUCCACGCAUUCUGCUGGCUUGUUUGUUUUGUAUUUAAUAGUUCAAGGACAUUAAUUCAAAGAAAACUUUUUAUGAAAUGUGAAGAAUCUUGGAGAAUACCAGCUGGAUGCUAUUGCAACUUGUUUUUAACCAUUAUCUUUCGAGCAAACUUUUUAAGUGAGCACCAAAAAUUGAGCUGGGCUGUAGCUAAGAUCCUUAAGAAACAGCCCUACCCUGAGAGCAUCACUCAAGCAAGAGCCCCUUCUGGCAGACUUUACUAAAUCAUUUCAGUUUGAGUUGGAGUAGUUACCCUUAAUGCAGGGGAAUGGUUGGGUGAUGGAGAAGAGACUUGUACAUGCAUAUCACUUGUUCCAGGCUGCUGCAAUAACUUCCAUGAUUCUGCCCCCUGCCCCUCCCCUCCAUUUCUGUGAAGGCCUGCUCCCGUUUCCUGCCUGCACAUAGCCUCGGACGUUAUUUUCCCUGCAGAUCCCAUUUGUUCCAAGAAAACUGGGAAGCACUGAAGGUAUCUCCAGUUCUCUGCAAGGUUCCCUUUCAGGCUGAAGAUUCCAGGGGAUUUGGUUCACUCCGUUUUGUCAGGGGGGGUUUUAAGACCAUGUAAUUGGGAUGUCACCCAGAGCAGAGUUUGUAAGAAGCUAACCUAUAUCUUGGGCCCCAGUCCCUGUGGAUCAAGAUUUCAUAUAUGGUCAUGUACCUUUGACAUAACAAGGAUCAGCAUGUAGGGGUUACCCUAGCUAACCAUUAGAUUCAGCAACAGUGACUAGCAGCUUGUUUUUGCACUGUCUACUUAUGAAAGAGUUACUAUUCUGCUGCUUCUGCAAAGAUUUAAAAAAAAACAAAACGGGAAAAGGGCAACAAUUAUUAAAGACGCAGUUUCCUGUUGGGACUCAUCUUUGAGUUCACUGGACUUUGACCUGGGCUUUAAACGUUGCUUCCCCUGACCUGCCUCUGUUCUUAGAAACAUGCUUCUAAUGGUUCCACCCAGCAGCUGUGCUGAUGGUGUGAAGUGCCUUCUGGGAAAGCACCCGCUGCUGAUUGGCCAGGGCAGCCAGCUGGAGUCACAGGAGUGCUUGUACGCAGCCCUGCCAGCUGCUGGAAAGCAGAAAUCUUAUGCUGCCCGGUUGAAGCAGUAUGCCAGUAACUGCCAGCAGAAAGGAGGCUUGUGUUACUGCAGAAGAGCAUUGGGUAUAGAGGCACUUGACAUUUCCUGGAAAGAUGCUAGUGCUGCUAGCAACACUAGUGUAGACUAAAAGUAGUCAGGAACACAUCACAGCAGCUUUAGUUGUCUACAAAAGUGCAACAGAGCUACGCAAAACUAGAACUGUUCAGAGACGAUACCUUUUAUGAAACCAACUGAAAAAUGAUCUUUCUUUGCAAGCUUUUGGACCAACACAGCUACCAAAUACAUCCCUAUUGCACCCAACAGCUGACAUAGCUCUGCCUGCUAAAGUCCUGGAGUGGAUGCAAGCAAUUCUGUCACCUGAGAGCAAUUUCAACCAGGCAACAAGUUAUUUGAGGAAGUAGUGUAGCUUUGGCCACAGAAAAACUGCCUACAGAGUUGUGUCCACACCUAGGGAUCUAGCUUCCAUAGUGCUGGCAUGUUAAUUCGGCACAGCUUGAGAAAUCUUCAUUUUGAUUUCUCCAGGAGGAUUUUCCAUCAAACCACAGAGGAGAGCUGGAGCUGGCUGUGUGAAAACAGGAAAGGCAGCAACGUGGAUUGACUUGGAAUACAAUAAGCAGUUGCGUGAUGGGAUCUUUAUUCUGUUAGGAGCCCAUUUGUUUCUCCCUUGCCCUGAACAAAUAUGCUCUGGAGAAAUGCAGUUCUAAAAGGUAUGCGAUUAGAAGUCAAAAUGUAGGAACUGCUUCCGAGUUGAAGAAAUCAUUACGUUAGUCUUGACAACUGUUCCAGGGACAGUAUGGUACAGGCUUGAGGUGCUUAUUCUUCAAAAUUAACACUAGCAGACAGAUAAAUGGCAAUGUUGUGCUUAUUCAAGGAGUACAAAGCUGAACCUAAUUCUCAAUUUUUUUUACAGGCACAUCAAGGAUAUUUUGUACACAUGGAAGCUGCCUUUGUAUGUGCAUGCAGCAGAACAAUUACAGUUUCUACUUGGAACAUUUUCUUAGAAACCCUUUUCUGUGGAGAAGGGAGGAGGAGGACCUUGAUGUUGGGUAAAGUUCAAUGCACCCUUUAGCUUUCACUGUUGCCGGUGUUGCAGGUUGCUGACUUGGGUCAAUAGAGUGUCUUACACCUUUUUUCCAGCUGGUAUUCGAACUGCAGCUUUAUAGAGGUUGGGGCUGGGAGCAGCAUUGGUGGCUGCCUCCAUCCUAGGCACAUCAUUAGAUAGAAGCAUGUUGUGUGCACAUCUCUAGCAACCCGGGGUGUUUAGGGAAUGAGCAAAAUAGGAUGCUGUGGAGAGAGAGGUCUUUUCACAUCAAAAUUGUGCAUAACUUUUGUUUUUUCAAGCUGUGCCCAACUAGCUUUUCCAUCUAAUAGCAAGGUCAAUGAGCAAAAGGGGAUGGGGAACAGAAAUUUCUCACAAGAAAAAGAUGGCCAUAGAGUCAAAGCUUUGGGAGUGAACAACUUUGUACAGCUCAUGCUAUGAACAAAGGCAUCUGUGCCUUUGUGAACUUUCUCACCAUGUAAAUAUGCUUUUAUUUUUUUUGGCUGUGGUCUGAACAGCAGUAAAUGUUGCACUAUGUUCUAAUUAAACUUUCUGCUUAGGGAGAAAAACCCCCAACCAAAAAACAAGCAUACUGAGGAACUACAAAUCUUCAGAUGUAGCGACUCCAGAAAGAAGAUUCACAAUACUUUGCCUGGUUUAGUGAAUGUCAACUAGAGUAGCAAGUAUGGGUACCAAAACCAUCACAGCCAUUAUUCAGCCUCUCGGCUUUAAUCUUCCCAGGUUGUGACUGAGAAGAACAGUAGUUUAUGGUGUGAUAUGACCUUCAGAGGGGAAGGCAUAUGGAGCUAUUCCACUCACUACUUGGGCACACAUGGGUGAACCAGUUCUGUGGCAAGGGCUGAAUUUCCUCCAUCCUCAGAGCAAAGUGAUAGCAAGGAGGAAUUAUGACUCAGUUUCUUCUCUGGUAUGUUCCUGGGACAUAGAGCCUAAAGCUAAGCACUACCCCCUUCUAAAGGAGAGAGUGUAAAGUUAUAAUUUAUCCUCAUACUGAUGGUAAAGUUAUAAAUUAACAUCAUACUGAUGCUGCUUAAGUUCUCCGACCACAUUUAACUAUCAGGUUUGGGUUCCUGUGUCAGAGUGAAUACUCAUUCCUAACCCUGGCAGCUAAGUGUUUCUCCUUUUCAUUACCCUGGGUUAAAACAUGACUGUCUUCCUUUAACAGGCUUGUAACACCAAUGUUUUACUCCGAGGUUGUCCUACAACCUGCAGGGUGGAUCCAGCUCAUGAAGCCCUCUGAUCCAGCUCGUCAUGGAUUUUGGACCAACCUUGCACAAAGUGUGCAGAGCCAGUUUGGCACAUGGGCUGGAUCCAGCACUGCAGGUGCUGUAUAUGGCUCAGGGUUGGUCUGGGAUGCAUGUUGCUUGCAGUGCCUACACUUAACUGGCACUAUGCACUGGCUCUGGGGCCAGUCCCAGAUUAGACCACACCAGAGCCAGCAUGCAGGGCUGAUCUGAUGUGGGCACUGCAUACAGUGCGUGCGCUGGGCCUACCAUGUGUAUUAUGUGCAGUGCACACAGUCAGUCUAGGCCUGUGUGCUGUGUGCAGCACACACUAGCCCCACUCAAGAGCUUGGUCUGCACGUAGCAUGGGGCAUAUGCUACAUGCAGUGCCUGCACUGGAGCAGCCCUGCACACUGGCUUUGACAUGCACAGAGAGCCUGGGGCCCAAUCCAGGCAUGUCCUGGAGGCAGCAUACAGGGCUGAAGCUCAUUGGGCUGGAUGAGUGUGAUACCCCUGUUUUAUUUUAUUAAUUGGACUUAACUAUUCUCGAGUAACUAGUUUACCUGGACCUCUUUCCUCCCUGGACUCUACACAGUAGGACUUCCCAGAGUGUUAUUUCAUCUCUUUCUGAGGCUCUGUAUGCACAUCCUGCAGGACUUCUGUGCCUUUGUGAGGUGACAUCUGUCCAGAGUUCCCUGAAACCACUGGCAGAAGCACGGUUAGGCUGCAGUGUGGAUGCACAGAAUUUGGUGGCGGGAAGGAGGGGUAACCCAAAUUAGUAGUCCCCCUAAUAUAUUGUGGCCUGAACUUAUAUAGAAGUUUGUCCAGCUGCCACUUUGUGCUAGUGGGACUGGGUCUUCAUCCUGAACAGUAUUGAUGUGUGCCUUUUUAGAUUCACAGGUCCUGGCUCUGAUCCUGUACAUUGCCCUAUUACUGUAUUUACUCAAAUUCAAGAUGAGGUCUCUCCCCCUUAUUUAACAUGGGAGGAAGCCACUUGUAUUUGAGUACAGGGGGAGGAGCGGCAGGUGGCCGAUGUAUCUCUUAACUCCAGUGCUGAGUCCAGUUUGGAGCCAGAGGCAGACUAGCUGCCUGCCCCCGCCUCUGCCCUGUUACAGUCAGAUGCGGCUCCAGCUCCAUUUCCUCUCAUGCACGAAGCAGAUGGAAACUCAAAUUUAUCUUUUUCCAUAUAUAGAAUCUAAUUGGGCUGUCGUCUUAAAUUUGAAGUAAUUUUGGAUUCAGUUAAAUACGGUAUAUAUAUUUGCAUUGUGGAAAAAGCUACUAUAUGGACCCAAUUGAGGGCUUAAGAAGACAUUAUUUUUGACAUGCUGCAGGUAUUGUGGAAUUGUAUCCUAUGGAAAUGUAGCACAACAUGUAUGACUUCAAUUUAUAGCCCCCUGGUUGGAGUGUGGCAGACAGAGUCAGCACAAAAGCAGGCUCUCCAUCCAGGGGCAAUGAAGUGCUGCUUCUUAACUCACCCCAUCUCCAGGGGAGCCUGUCGGUAGCAGGACAGGCUCGCUCACAGGCUUGCCCAUCAGCUGUCGCUGCUGUGGCCACAGCUGAUGGAGUUACCCCCAAGCUGCCUGCUAGAGUAAGCCUGGGAUGGUAGGAACCUUGUGAGGCAGGGACCACCCUAUUGGCACUGGCUGCUGCUACCCACAGGCAGCCCCAGGGAUGACAGGAUCACUCAGAAGCCCCCUCUGGCAGCAAAGGUGGAUUGGGAGGUCUCUACUUGCCUGUCCAGCCCCUUCAGCCUCCUCACCAUUGUGGCAAAUAAACCAGGCCUUGCAUGGCUCCACGAGAGCUCAUUGCCUGGGUAGGUUAUUGGAGCCAACAGCUCUCCCUGUCCCUCCCCCUUGGAAGGCACAAGGAAGAAAGAGCAGAGCAUUGUGGGAUACUGGGGUUUGGAGAACCCUGCACUCAUUAGGUUUGUCAUUCAAAAGCUCCGUGCAACAAAGCAGCUGCUGUUUGAAACUACAACUUUUUUGUUGGGAUCCAUCAUCUUGGGACUGGAUUUUUUUUUUUUUUUUUUUUUUUUGUAGUGUGACAAAAAGUCUGAAUGUGUGGCUGCUGGCUUUGUCAUACUUUAACAGCGCACAAAGCACAACAAAUGUAAUGCCAGACCCCUGAGUCUUGCAAUUGGGUCAGAUGAGCUUGUCACAAACUGAUUCUAAAGACAUUAAUGUGGGCAGACCCUAAAAAACCCUUUGUGAACUCUGUGUACCCUAUCUAUGCUAUAUUUUUCUCAUCUGGAAGAUGUGCUUAACUAGUGUUCUGACUGUCUUACAACAUACUUAUAACAUAUUUUGCUUUUGCCUUUAUAAACAAUAGGACCAAAUAUGUUAUAAAAAUCUACCAGUAGCUAUAGGACAACACUUUAGUACAUUUAGAACAUGGUUGGAUUCAAUUAAAGAUGAAGCCAAUUCGAAGAUGGUCCAAGCUCUACCAUUUAAAGGAAGUAACAUUUGUAGGAUAUUGUCAUUGUGUUGUUUGCCAAAAGAUUUAUCAUAAAUCCCUUGGGAAAACAAUGGUUAUUUAGACUGUAAAAAGCAAAUAUGUAAAGGAUAGAACCAAAGGUUUUCUGGCCCAAAUUUCAGAGCCUCUGUCUGUUCAUCUGCCUCUGUUUUCUAGAAAAGUUGUGGACAAAGAACUGUUGACCACUUUUUACUUUCUCUCUCUUGCUGGGUUGUGAAAAUCUUGUUCUACAAUUUGUACCACCAUGUUUUGGAAAAAACUACGGAUGUGUCCAGAUGAGCAUGGAUAUGCAGUAUGUGAUGCCACAGACCUCCAGACACUACACACGCAGGCAUUCUCCAUGCUUCUUUGCCACAACAGGGGUGCUUUUUUCGCCUCAGGAGACCUGGGGUCAAAAAAAGCCCACAUCAAAACAAGGCAGGACGGCACGUGUGGCAGCAGCACAUGCUGCCCAAAACCAAAGCCUGGCUGGCCAGAGCUGCAUUCCAGCUGGUGGCCAGGCUUACUGCUUCAGGAGCACCACAGAUGCAGCUUCCAGAGGCCCUCAGGACCCCAGGUAAGACUGCUGGGGCCAGCAAAGUUGCUGGCCUCAGCCUCCCCUACCCCACCUGGGGUAACCUGUCACAUGCCAGAGCUCACAUGGCAUGGGCAUUCCCAGGGGCCAAGCAGCAGCAGCACAAGGUGUGCAGCUGCUCCUUGUACCCCAGGAAAUGCAUGUUCCCACUUCUCUGCAUGUGCCCUAUGUGUCACCCUAGGGUCUAAAGGCUAUGGGGCUGUAGUUCCUCCUAGUACGUGGUUCUUAAGAGAAUGAUGUGCUAGCAAAUUAUAAGCAGGGAUCCAGAUUUUCCAUUCACCAUGGAAAAAUGUGGUGAAGCAUGGAUUUUCUCUCUUAAACGAGAAAAAUGCAGGAAAUGGUGGGUUCCCCCUGCAGGCUGGCAGAAUUUCAAAGGACAAGCAGGAGACGGGCGAUCAGGCAGGGGGUGCCACGUGUAUGUGUGCACAUGCAUGUGGCAGCCAGGCAGAAGAAGAGCAGCCCCCCACAGGUAAGUCGGCGGGGGGGAAUUGAUUUCCUCACAGUGAGGGAGAGAGGGAGUUGGGCAGGGCUGGUGCUGGGGAUGCAGCCCAGUCAGGGCGGUGUAUGGGGCCUGGGGUUGGGGUGGGAAUGUGCAGCCGCAGGGCCAGGCGGGGAACAGGACAGCCGUGGGUGGGGCUGGUUCCCCACUACUGCAUGCACUCCUGGGGGGCAUGUGGGCUGCCCACUGCAGGCUUGAGGCCCCCCAUCCUGUUGCCGUCCCCCAGCAGGUAGGACCCAGCCCAGUAGGGCAGAGUGGGGUGGGGAAGCUCAGUGCUACUGUUGGGAGCCCCACACUACCAUGGUGAGGUGCCCCCUGCUCACCCACCAGCAGCAGGGAUGGCAGUGCAGAUUUGUGCUCCCUGCUGCCUUGCCAUAGUGAUGCAGGGCUCCUGGCAGCCUCACUGCCCUGCUGUGCCUUCCUGUGCUGGGUCCUGCCAACAGAGGCCCCAGGGGGAGGGCAGCAGGGCAGGGAGCCCCAAGCCUGCAGCCACACCCUGCAUCUGCCUCGGCCCAUGGGCCCUGCUUCAGCCAUGCUGCCGGUGUGGGAGGGGGAGCCAGGCAGCACUCCGGCUGCAGCAGCUGCCACCUCCUGUGAGCAACAGCUGGGGCUCCGGAGUUGCUGGGGGUGGGGGGCUGCAGACCUGAGUCCCUGGCCCUG